GUAUAAAGUAGAGGAAGAUGGGCAUGGAUGUUAGCUCAGGGCAAGUCUUCCUCAGCAAAAAGAGGAGGAUUGGCAGUAGAUAGCUCAGGGCUAAUCUUCCUGAAAAAAAAAAAAUUAACCCAUUAUCCUCAUUGAAAAAAUUUUUUUAUUGCUUGCUCUUUUCCAUGUUCUAAUUAUAUAAUCAGUUGGUUUAUGGUGGUCUUUCUCCCUUCAUUUUUGCUGUUUAACUGUUUACUUUGUAGUUAAUCUUCUGGAAUAGAUUAGAUUUGGGAUAACUGGCCAAGUCUAUACAUUUAUAUUUAACUCGUCUUUGAUCAAGAUUUGCUUAUCUGGUCUAGCUAAAGAACUAGAUUUUCAUGUUCUUACGACUGCUAGCAAAAAUCAGGCCCAGGAAGAGAAUGUCUCUGUUUGGGAAUGGCGCAAUCUAAAAUAUACACAGGAAAAUUCUGACUUGAAUACCAUUAUAAAAAUAGAUUAAAUUUAAGUGAUCAGAUUAUCACCUUUUUAAUAACUUCUAUAGGUUAAAGUGAUGAGACUGUCAACUCAAACUAUUUUUCACUAUUUUUAAAAACUGGGUAAUAAAUUCUUUAAAUUACAAGUGCAAUAAUGCCUAAUGAGAGAAUAUAUAUUAUAAAUACUACCUUCAAAGUUAGGCAUUGUGAAUAUCCAAAAUUUUGUAAAGAUUUUACUUGAUUGGAUAACUGUAUCUUUACUUUUUUUCCUUGUUGAGAUUAGACAUAAGAAUCUGAAUAUUUGGACUUUUUUUAGUUUUUAUCACUGAUGUUGAAAAUCAGUUAGAAAACCUAAUCUUAAUGUAACUUAUUUCUUAGAGAAUUUUAAUGCUCAAUGUUUAAGCAUAUAAGUGGCCAUAUUUCUUAUGAUGGAAAUAGCAGCCAGAAUGCUUGGAAUUAGCUUUUAAUUUCUGAAGUGUAAAGAUAUACCAUAUGUGUAUGUGAGUACAUAUAUAUGAAUAAGUGAAUUCAAGAGAGAGUAAAAGCAGAAUGAUGAAAACAUAAAUGAAGUGAACUUUAUAUAUUUCCACUCAGGCAGAUGACUGAUUUGUAAAGAAGUUCCCUGGUUUUUCUUGAUUUGAAGGGUCAUUAUGUUUUGCUGAAUUUUAUUUAUUAUAGAUUCCACACCUUUUAACUAACACGAUUCCUUGGUACAAAAACAAUGUUUAUCAUUUCUUGUCAAAUAUACACUACAGACACAAAGUUUUGCCAUUGAGGAGGUCACAAUCUAAUGGAUUUCACACCUAUUUGAGUAAUCUACUUUUAAAAAAUUAAGAAUAGCUGAUUUCAUUUGGAGUUCAAUUUUUCUAACUUCCAAAGCACUUCCUGUUACUGCUUAAUAAAAGCCAUCCAGAGGCGAUUGAGAACAUGGAUUGCCUUUUUAAAAGUUCUGAUAGACUGGUUUGUAGAGAGUAAAAUAUUAACAUGAAGAGUUAUGGAUGAGCCUGGGUUUAGAAUGAUUACCAUUUCCUUCUAAAAUGUUUGGUGACUUUUCUUUCUAUGAACAUCGGCGUGGAUGCAAGUAAUAAAUCUACACAUUUUGGCCUUUGACGACAAUUCAAAAGAACACUACAGUCAAGAGCUCUUCUAACCCCUAAUUUAUUUGGAUUGCAGAUGAAAACUUUUUAAAAGCAAAAUUUUUCUAGUUUUCUGCUUUUGUACGGCGAGGAUCAAUGACUUUAGAGUUGGUGGUUCAAAGAAAUCACAUGGACCAUCCCCUGUCUUUCAGUUCAAAAUUUGGCUUCCAACGGAACAGGCUGAGAAGUGAAAGAGUGGCCAUUAAGGGUGAAUGAACUUGUCCUGACUCUUUGCAGCCUACAGGCGUUAUAAUCCUGUGCUAUCAACCUAGUUGGUUUCAGAUCACAGGUUUUUUUCUCUCCUUCUAUGGCCGGUGUUUCCAAAGCGAAGUGUUGGAAGCUUUUGUAUGCUGCAUUUUGUUGGUCCCGUGAAGGCACAGCUCACAGGCUCCUUCUACACCUCCGGUCUGGCCCACAUCUGACUCAAAAUCAACAGAUGGCCAUCAAUCCUGCUUUUAGUUCUCCAAAGAAGGCGAUUCCCAGUUUUCGUUGCUCACAAAUUUUAGUACUUAACGACCCUGUUGGAAGGCUUUCCUUAUUGUGUUCAAUUUUCUUGGUUCUCUGAACUUCAUUGAUGUUCGUGCCUCUUCCUUGGUAGCUAAUAAUGUAAGUAACCGGAAGUAAUGUAAGUGUAUCUUCCUUACAUAUUAUAAACAGCUCAAAAUCAUAGACUUCCACUCUCUCCCUUGCAGUCCACAAAACGUUAUAAAUACUUGUUAAAACAAAUUAAAGUCAUAUUUCCCACUUUCA
ensembl:lncRNA